GAUGAACGCUAGCGGGAGGCUUAACACAUGCAAGUCGAGCGGGAUUAGCAGCAAUGCUAUGAGAGCGGCGCACGGGUGCGUAACGCGUAUGCAACCUGCCUUAUACAGGGGAAUAGCCCAUGGAAACGAGGAUUAACGUCCCAUAGGAUCACGGGAUCGCAUGGUUUUGUGAUUAAAACUGAGGUGGUAUAAGAUGGGCAUGCGUCUGAUUAGGUAGUUGGUGAGGUAAUGGCUCACCAAGCCGACGAUCAGUAGGGGUUCUGAGAGGAUUACCCCCCACACUGGUACUGAGACACGGACCAGACUCCUACGGGAGGCAGCAGUGAGGAAUAUUGGUCAAUGGCCGGAAGGCUGAACCAGCCAUCCCGCGUGCAGGAUGACGGCCCUAUGGGUUGUAAACUGCUUUUGUACCUGAAGAAACCUGUUUACGAGUAGACAGUUGCCGGUAAGGUAUGAAUAAGCAUCGGCUAACUUCGUGCCAGCAGCCGCCGUAACAC
rnacentral:rRNA from 1 species